rnacentral:rRNA from 1 species
UAGGGAAUCUUCCGCAAUGGACGCAAGUCUGACGGAGCAACGCCGCGUGAGUGAAGAAGGAUUUCGGUUCGUAAAACUCUGUUGUUAGAGAAGAACAGCGCAUAGAGUAACUGUUAUGCGUGUGACGGUAUCUAACCAGAAAGCCACGGCUAACUACGUGCCAGCAGCCGCGGUAAUACGUAGGUGGCAAGCGUUGUCCGGAUUUAUUGGGCGUAAAGCGAGCGCAGGCGGUCAAUUAAGUCUGAUGUGAAAGCCCCCGGCUCAACCGGGGAGGGUCAUUGGAAUCUGGUUGACUUGAGUGCAGAAGAGGAGAGUGGACUUCCAUGUGUAGCGGUGAAUUGCGUAGAUAUAUGGAGGAACACCAGUGGCGAAGGCGACUCUCUGGUCUGUAACUGACGCUGAGGCUCGAAAGCGUGGGUAGCAAACAGG